rnacentral:misc_RNA from 1 species
GAUGAAGAACGCAGCGAAAUGCGAUAAGUAAUGUGAAUUGCAGAAUUCAGUGAAUCAUCGAGUCUUUGAACGCACAUUGCGCCCCCUGGUAUUCCGGGGGGCAUGCCUGUCCGAGCGUCAUUGCUGCCCUCAAGCACGGCUUGUGUGUUGGGCCUCCGUCCUCCUCCCGGGGGACGGGCCCGAAAGGCAGCGGCGGCACCGCGUCCGGUCCUCGAGCGUAUGGGGCAUCGUCACCCGCUCUUGUAGGCCCGGCCGGCGCUUGCCGACACAUCAAUCUUUUUUCCAGGUUGACCUCGGAUCAGGUAGGGAUACCCGCUGAACUUAAGCAUAUCAAUAAGCGGAGGA